ACUGGGCGGCUCCCGGGGGGCGCAGACGGCCCCAAGGGAGUAGAGUCUAGUUCUCGGCUGGGAUGGAGUUUCGCCCCUGCACAGAGAAGAGAUCAGACUCUAGAACUAACCCGUUAUAAUCCCACUUGCAAAUUACAAAGUUUUAAAGGUUGAAUGCCUCCUAACAGGUCAGGCUGUAUGGUAAGGGCUUGAACCUAACGGUGCAAAAGUGUCACGGGUUGUUAGAGGGAUUCAGAAAUGAGCGCCGAAUCCGGCAUCAGAAAGAUCGGAGGUUGAAUCCUCGCGUCACAACUUAAAGGGGUGUAACUGUAUGUCUAUAAAACGAGGAUAAUAGGCCAUCGCAUAGGAUGGUUGUGAUAAUUAAAGGAAAUAAUCAAUGUGAAAGACUUAGUGAUAGAUUGGUUAUUGUACAAUAAAUCAUUAGAUGCUCACGGUUCUGAGACAAGUAUUACUAUUGCAUGUCUGAAGAAUCUGAGGCUCAAAAAAUAUUUUUUUGCACAAAGUUUCUUACCUAGUAAGUGGCUCAGUAUGCCAUCCCACGUACUCUGUUAGUGUAGGAAUUGCCCUGGCCUAGACCUACCAGCUGAUAAAGGAUAACAGAGCAAUAGUUAUACUGACAGUACAUAUGUUUUGGUGGUUUGUCAGUGACUUUGGAGAGCUUUAAAGUAAGAUUUCCUGACCGCUUCAGGAACCCCUACAAAAUGAAUGGCAAGUUAGGGACUCUUGAGAUGCCAUGUAACCAGACAUCAACUAUGCCCCAAUAACCUAUGGGGAAAAUUUUUAAUUAAAAUUUUAAAAAUAAUAAAUAAUGAAAAUAAUCUUGAGAUGCUACACUGUUACCUAAGGAAAUAGUCAUAUUUAAAGUGGAGUCCAGCAAAAGGUCUCAUCCACAAUAGUAGAAUGAUAAUGAUGCUGAACCAAUGUUAGUGGGGCAAUUUCAGGGGUAUUGCCAAGGAUAUAUGUCUUACCUACUUCAAUGACCCAAUCCUGGCAAAACCAUAAAGGUACAACAUGAACUGGAGCCCAGUCUUGGAGUUCUGUUGAACACCUCCAAAUAACUAUUAUAUGAGGGUUAUUAUUUAUUCUUAAGGGGUUUAAGGAUUCUCCUUGUUGGAGAGCUGUUACUUUAGUGGUAGAAAAAAAAUCCUUAAUUUUGUAUUCCUGAAUGGGAAAUCUCAAUGUGUAUCUUCAGUAGGAGGACACACAUUUCACUGAUACUGUUAUUAAAUAACUGUAAAGCUUUACCUUUUUAGAAACUCCACUAUCUUUUUUAUCCACAAAUUUCAGGAAAGAUAAAGAGAACUAAUAGAAUUCUAAAAAUAGUUUUCAGAGCUCUCUAACUUCCAGAGUCCAAAGUACUUCCUUUUGCCUUGAUGGCAAUUAAGAUCAAUCCAUUCUAAGACCCAUAAGUUAUCGCCUUCUGAGUAAUAACAGGCUUCCUCAUGUAUUUGUGAAUUACUUCCAAUACUAGAUGCUACUAGUAUAAGCUGCUGUCACUAAGUGCUGCAGGGGACUCAUAAGAGAACUCCUGCUUUAUCAGUAGAUAGAAGCUGCACUCUCAAAGCACCCACCUAAGCAGCCUCUGAAAUCUGGAGAUUUGGUCUUCUGAAAAAUAUUAGAAAAUAAUUUUCCUUGAGCCUCAAUGCAAAAAAAAAAAAUUAUCAGGUACUGUCACCAACUGACCCAGCAGUAAAACUAUGAGACAUUGAUCCUUGGAUUCAUAUGAUACAACUAAAAAGACAUGCAUCAUUUUCUCCUGGCUACUGGACAUCCCAUUCUAUUGGAAGACCUCAAACUUAAGAUGCAUGAAACUUCCCCAGAAGCUGCUGACUGCAGAAAUGGGCAGUUCAUACCCAAGACAACAGGACAAGAUUAAUUUUCUGAUUCCUCCGCAUCUUUUAUCCUACCGCUAAUCUUACUUAUUAUUGCAUUUUGACACCUGUGAUUAACAAAUUGAUUUCUCAAGAAGACAAACCUUAUCUUCAUCCUGUUACUUUUGACUCUAUGUUCUGCUACUUAAAAUAAGUAAUAUUUGGCUGGGCACAGUGGCUCACACUUGUAAUCCCAGCACUUUGGGAGGACAAGGCGUUCGGAUCACCAGGUCAAGAGAUCAAGACCAUUCUGGCCAACAUGGUGAAACCCCAUUUCUACUAAAAAAAUACAAAAAUUAGCUGGGCAUGGUGGUGUGCGCCUGUAGUCCCAGAUACUCGGGAGGCUGAGGCAGGAGAAUUGCUUGAACCCAGAAGGCAGAGGUUGCAGUGAGCCGAGAUUGCGCCACUGCACUCCAGCCUGGUGUCUGGCGACAGAGUGAGACUCUGUCUCAAAAUAAAUAAAUAAACAAACGAACAAACAAUGUUUGACCAGGUGCAGUGGGUAAUACCUGUAAUUCCGGCACUUUAGAAAGCCAAGGUGGGAAGAUCACUUGAGACCAGGAGUCUAACCUGGGCAAUGUAGCAAGACGCCCAUCUCUACAAACAAUAAAAAAUUAGCAGGCCGGGUGCGGUGGCUCAAGCCUGUAAUCCCAGCACUUUGGGAGGCUGAGGCGGGUGGAUCACAAGGUCAAGAGAUCGAGACCAUCCUGGUCAACAUGGUGAAACCCCGUCUCUACUAAAAAUACAAAAAAUUAGCUGGGCAUGGUGGUGCAUGCCUGUGAUCCCAGCUACUCAGGAGGCUGAGGCAGGAGAAUCACCUGAACCCAGGAGGUGGAGGUUGCGGUGAGCUGAGAUCACGCCAUUUCGCUCCAGCCUGGGUAACAAGAGUGAAACUCCAUCUCAAAAAAAAAAAAAAAAAUUAGCUGGGCAUGGAGGCAUGUACCUGGAGUCCCAGCUACUCAGGAAGCUGAGGCAGGAGGAUAUUUGGAGCCCAGGAUCCCAAGAGUGCAGUGAGCUGUGAUCAUGCCAGUGGGCAACAAAGCGAAACCCGCUCUCUUAAAAAAGAAAAGAAAUACACUCUGGAGUGUUUUUCUGAAACCAUAGCUACUGCUCUUAAGGAAUUGUUGACAAAAUUCAAUAGCUGUGCUUUCAUAGACUUCAUAAAGUAGAUUUUCUUCUGGAGGUCACUUCUGGUACUUAAGCAUUCCUCACAAAAUUAAUCCCAGACUUCAGUCUUACAAAAAUGGGACCUUGACCUCCACUUCAACAGAAUGUUUCCCUGAAGUCAUUACAAUCCUAUGAGAAAAACUUAGCCCUUCAGGAAUAGAAACUAAUAUUGGGGCUAUUCUUGAUUCACUACUCAGUCCAUUCUCUUCCAAAACAUUCCAGCCUGCUUUAGAGAAACCGGUUUAACUUCAUCCAAGAAAGCUGCCUAUCUCGAGGGAAAGAAAGUUAGCUUGUUCCUGAUGUGCUAAAUAGCCCUUAUCCUCCCAAUGGAGUCUGUACUUUCCUAGGGUAUUACUUCUUUAUGGGAACAUCAGGCUUGUACACUAACUUAUCCUUUGUAUUGAAGCUAAUUGUUAGAGACCCUCCAGUGUUUAAAAUUACCACUCCUCCAGUUGACUGUGUUUCUCUGAGAAGAACACCCAGAAACCAACAAAAUGAAGCAAGCACAGAAUCACAGACUACUUGGGAGAACUCGCAGGAGGGAUCGCUGACUCACUUUUCAUGUGUACUCUGCAAGUGAAAUUCCCACAACAAAGAUAAUACAACAAAAAAGAGGUCUCUGACCCUAGCAGACCUCAUCGAUGGCACAACUUCUGCUAUAGAAGCUCAACAAACCACUUAAAUUUGAAUUCCUUAGCCAGAGUUUUCAUGGAUAAUCAUACAACCCUUGAUUUAUUCUUAUAAACUGAAAAGAGAAAAGCCUCUGGCUCCCUAAAAACAGACUCAGCUAGAUUCUGGGGCAUGUUUUCAUUGCCAGGAUUUUAAAAUCUGGGCCCCUAGCUUGAAGACUUUUUACAAAGAUGAAUAAUCAUUUUGUUUUUGGUAUCUGGUUCUUUUGCACUAGGUCGAUGUAUCCUGUCCAGAGCCCUAGUUUCUCCACAGCCAUUGUCAUAUCAUAUGAUUCAACAAAUCCUACAACAGAAGGCAGAAUUAACCCAACUACAGACUACAUUCUCCAGAUCAGCAUAAAUUUAGCAACAGUGAAAAUCUGAAUAUCAUAGAUUAAUGGUCCUGCGGCGUGACUUUGUCUGCCCUUGACCAAAUGGAGGGCUCAGAAAAUAAAUCUAGGGUGCCUGGCAACUGGUCUGGCACAGGUAACUAAGCCUCAGUGUUGUCACAAGCUGGCCUGGCAUUCACCAUCAUCCCUCGAUACUCUCCUGUUGAGCAUAAACAAUCUCACGGAACACCAAUAUCACACAAGUUCUUUUGGUGACUGAAGAAAAAAGACAGGACAAGAUCAUUUCAUAAUCUUGUCUAAGCCCAGACAAAACAACAUUAGUGUGCAAAUCAAACACCUCCCUUUUCCGGUUAAUUUGAUUGCUGCUUUUUUAAUCAAUUAUAGCUCUACCAUCACUGUAAUUUUGGGUUUUUUGCUGUCACCCAGGCUGGAGUACCGUGGCACAAUCAUGGCUUACUGCAGCCUCAACUUCGCUGGCCCCAGUGAUUCUCCCACCCCAGCCUCCUGAGUAGCUGGGACCACAGGCACAUGUCACCAUGCUCAGCUAAUUUUUUUUUCUUUUUUGAUAGAGAUGGAGUUUCGCCCUGGUGCCCAGGCUGGUAUUGUACUCCUGGACUCAAGCAAUCCACCCGCCUUGGCCUCCCCAAAGUGCUGGGGUUACAGGCAUGAGCCACUACACCAAGCCCAUCAAUGUAUUCUUUUUGUCUAGAUAAAAUUUAUUAGGAUGUCCAAUCAUGUAAUUACUGCCUCAUCUUGACAGCAUCCAAUUCAUAGAAAAGCAAUGGCUUCUUGAACUUUCCCCCUAAAAUCACCUAACACAAGGCAAAUCCUGUAACUCCUGGUAACAUCCCAAUACGGAGAUACGUCAUGAUCUCCCAUGCUGUGUGCUCUGCCUUGUUGCAGUGAAUAGUGAAACCAAUAUGGUGUUGCUUGAGAACAAUGACACAUUAAACUAAAGGAAGCAAUUAUAUAAGUUCUAGUUCUACACUAGUUUUUAUUUUUAUCUUUCUUUUCGGCAUAAGGUCUUACUAUGUUGCCCAGGCUGGACUCAAACUCCCAGGCUCAAGCAAUCCUCCCACCUCAACCUCCUGAGUAGCUGGGACUACAGGCACAUGCCUACACCCAGCUUGGCAGUUUUAGAUUUACCAUGAGUGAAAUGCAUUCCUGGUUACCAGAAUUCUGGUUUCCACCCUCAAGCACAGUACCUCCUGAUCAAAGAUUUACUGAGUACUUUCUAGAUUCCAGGCACUGUGCCAGGAAACAGGAAUGUUGCCUGCUGGUACCAAUCUACUAUGGCCAAGCAAGUGCUCCUGGUGAUGUUUCCCUCUAGUAGCAGCAGGUAUUAAGAUGCUGCUGCCAAAGGAGACAGGACAGGAGCUGAGGGUCCUGAGGAUGGGAAAAGAUAGGUGGAGGCCUAUAUGGGGCAUGAUACCUGCCCAUAUACUUUGAACAGAGGAUCCUAUACCUGGGACUCAUAGUACAAGUUCCUGGCUAUCCCCAUCACAGAACUGCACCAAAUGAGUACAUAAAAAAGCCAGACAAUUCAAAAUUGAGCAGAUUCCCAUUGCCCUACAUCUAACUUACCCACAGCCCCGAGAGAAUGCUCAGACUGGACUUGCCCUCUCAUGGUGCAGCCCUUUCUUCAUCCAGGAGCCAAAAGGUAAGGAAAGAAGGAGCAAGGGCAGCAUGUCCUCCUUCCCCCCACCACAUCCAUUGUUAUUGCUGCCACCUUCUUUCUUCCCCUCCUCCUCUUUUCUUCCUCCUCUUCUCUUCCUCCUCCUCUUUCUUCUUUUCUCUCUUUGUUUCUGGAUAAACAGAUGAUGGAAGAAAAAAUCCUGUCAAUUAUAGAGAAAAAUGUCUUCAUUGGGGUGUGACAAGGCAAGCAUAAGACAAAGGGCAGACGUCAGGAAAAAGUGAAGGAACUGGUUCAUUAAAACCAUAAAACACUGUAAUGUGCACACUGCUACAGAGUCUGCAUUUGCUAUGUUCCCACAUAUCCACCAUUGCUCACUCUUUUAUUUGAUUGUUUUCUGAUCAAAUGUCAGAGGUCUUCUCUGAUCAUCCAGUCUAAGAUAUGAACGGCAUGUAUACUCCACCUCCUCCAUCAUUCUCCAACCCAUGACUCUGCCUUAUUCCUACACCUGUCAUUAGCUGACAUUGCAUAUGUUUGUCUACUUUCUGUCUUCAUCCACUAGAAUGUAAGCGUCAUGAAAGCAGGGAGCCUUUUUCACUUUAGCUCUAACACCUGGAAUUAUGCCUGCUGUAUAGUUGCCCUCAAUAUUUGUCCACUGAAUAAAUACAUAAAUGCCCUUUUAGUACUCCUCUCACAAGAGAUUUAAAGGGAAAAAGAGACAUUCUCCUCCCCCACUUUACCAUAAAUAUCUGAAAAAUCCAGGCACUUUGAGGGCUGUAAGACUUUGGUGGUGGUGCCCAGAGAUGCCCAAGGCAGCUUGGACAUCCAUAGAAGAACAUAAAGUCUCAGGCAAGAGCAGAAGCACCUUCAGAGGCUAAUGGAGGAAUUAGUGCUCCAGAGAUAAAACCACCCAAGAGAAACCUCAGUCAUGCAUGCUCAGCAGAGGCCAAUGUACCUGCAGAAGAGGCUGUCCACUGCUGGAGUGGUGACAGUGCCCAGCACCCAUCGUGUGACUGUUGGCUGGGCUGCUUGGGGACAUUGUGUAUGACAGACUGUGUUAAGGACUGGAUGUUUGUGUCCUCUCAAAACUCAUAUGUUGAUAGGGCACAGUGACUCACACCUAUAAUUCCAGCACUUUAGGAGGCUGAGGCAGGUGGAUCACCUGAGGUCGGGAGUAUAAGACUAACUAACAUGUUAGACUAACAGCCUGACUAACAUGGUGAAACCCCAUCUCUACUAAAAAUACAAAAAUUACCCAGGUGUGGUGGUGUGAACCUGUAAUCCCAGCUACUGGGGGGUGGAAGGAUGAGGUAGGAGAAUUGCUUGAACUUAGGAGGUGGAGGUUGCAGUGAACAGAGAUCUCACCACUGCAUUCCUGACUGGGCAACAGAGCAAGACUCUGUCUCAAAAACAAAAGAAAAGAAAAACUUCAUAUGUAGAAGGCCUAACCCCCAGUGUGAUGGUGUUUUUAGGUGGGACCUUUGUGAGAUAAUUAGAUAUAGAUGAGGUCAUGCAGGUAGAGUCCCAGUGAUGGGAUUAGUGCCCUUUUAAGGAGAGGAGAUUGAGAUUGCUCUCUCUUCACCAUGUAAAGACACAGCAAGAGGGUAGGCAUCUACAAGCCAGGAAGAGGGCCCUUGCCAGACACUGAGUCUGCUAGUACCCUGAUCUUACACUUCCCAGCCUCCAGAGCUGUGAGAAAUAAAUGUUUAAGCCACCAGUCUAAGGUUGUUUGUUAUGGCAGCCUAUGAUGACUACAACAAACUGACAGUUCCCAGAAAUACCUGAAGGCAGGUCUGACAUUCAUCUGGUGUGCACAAAUGCUGUUCUGGUUGUUAAAAUACUGAGAUACUUUCAUAUUCAUUGGUAAACAGCCAAUGCCCCAAGCACCCUUCCUCUCUUCACCCCCAUUCCCUUCUGCCACCCAGACAUCCCCAGGAUCCAAAAACUAAAGGAUUAAUGCCUGGUACAUCUUGAGCCCUGUUUUGAUUGGUCAAUACACUAGUCAUUCCAGGUGCUAAAUAUUUUUAAUAUCACCACUACCUGGAGUAAAGGAGAGAUGAGGCCCUAUUUGAAGAAGAACCAGAGCCAAUGAACUGGGAGAUUACUAUUAACAUAGACUUACCUGAAGUCAGAGUGCAGGUUCUGGUGACAUUUUUUAAUUUGUAAAAACAUUAUGGGCUGGGCACUAUGGCUCAUGCCUGUAAUCCCAGCGCUCUGGGAGGCCAAGGCAGGUGGAUCGCCUGAGGUCAGGCAUUUGAGAUCAGCCUGGCCAACAUGGCAAAACCCCUCCUGUACUAAAAAUACAAAAAUUAGGGGGGCAUGUGGCACAUCAUGCCUGUAAUCCCAGCUAUCAGGAGGCUGAGGCAGGAGAAUCACUUGAACCCAAGAGGCAGAGGUUGCAGAGAACUGAGAUGGUGCCAUUGUACUCCAGCCUGGAUGACAGAGCAAGACUCCGUCUCAUAAAAACAAAAUUUAAAAAAAAAAUUGUGAAACUCCAGCUUUCUGGAGCUGUGCUAAGGGCAACACAGGGAAGGAGUCUCUGAGGACCCUUGAACUUGGACCAGCAUGGCAGUGACAGGAGUCAUCAAAUUGAGCCUACUACCUGUGAAAGAUGAAGCUCAGGGGGCCACUGGGAACUGCGAGGUCAGCUGGCUGUCUCUUAUCAAAAAAUUCUGCUUUCAAUCCCACGCCUUGAAGGUUCAUGUUUUUUUAGUGGGAAAAGAGAGUGCAGAGGCAAAUAACCUGAGAAAGUCAGGUUGCAACAGCUAUCCGGGUUACAUCUCUCCAUAACUCCUUUCCAAUCCUAAGGCUAUGCCUUGUCACCAUGGUGGGUCCAGGUCUAUUCCUAGCCUCCAAUGGCAUUUACUUGUGAAAAUAAAUGAAGACUAAUCAAAUGAGAACAAGCAACGGCUAUUUAUUCUGAACUUGUUAUAGCAAGGGCGUCAGCCACUAUCAUUUGCAUUUUGACAGACUCAAAAAGGCAGGCAGAGCAGUGGGAAAAUCUUAUAGUGGGAAAGAAAUGAAGGCUUCAGGUGUGCCCUGAUUGGAGGCUACUGGCAUAGGAAGCUAUAGGAGGGCUAACUAGAAAAUGGGUAUCUUAUAGGAGUUGUUAGGGGAGAAUAUGUGGUUUUCUCUGGUUAGUCCUAAGUUGCAAGCAAAGACAAAAAUUAGGGAAUCUGUCAGUUAUUAAAAGUCCUUGCCAUCUGGGGCUGAUUAUUAUAAUGAUAUUGUUUGGCUUCUUAGAUUGUUAUUAGAGAUAGCAAUCUGGCUUCCUACAAGUCUGGCAUAGCAGGCUAGCUUCCUGGACUGGUUAUUGGAGAUAUGGGUUGAUUUCCUAAGAAGAUUACUACUAGUUGUGGGUCAAAGUUCUGCUUUUUAAAAAUAGAGACAGAGUCUUGCUCUGUUGCCCAGGCUGGACUGCAGUGGCAUGAUCAUAGCUCACUGCAGCCCCAAACUCCUGGGCUCAAGCAAUCCUUCCACCUUGACCUCUCAAAGGGCUGGGAUUAAAAGCAUGAGCCACCACAUGCAGGAGAGAGUUCUAUUUAUACAUGAUCUAGCUGUUAUUAGUUUGUAUAUUCAGCCUCUCAUCCUCAACAAAUAUUUAUUGAGUAGCUACUAAAUGCCAGUCACUUUGCCAGAUGCUACAGUAACAGAAAUGAAAUUACAUCUUCCUUGCUUUCAGGAUUUACAGUCUCAUGGGAGACAUAGACAAAGAGUUCCACCUUAGAAAUCAGUGACCAGGUUUCCUUGUAUUGGACUCCUAGAUUAUCUCCCUGGAGGCAGCCCUGGGAAUAUUUUUCAUGAAUCUAGUAAUAAAAUUAUUUUCUUAGUCUGUUUAGACUUUUAUAACAAAAUAGCAUAAACUAGGUGGCUUGGAAAUGACAGAUGUUUAUUUCUUACGGUUCUGGAAGCUGGGAAGUCCAAAAUCAAGGCACAAGCAGAUUCAGUGUCUAAUGAGGGCCUGCUUAACAGCCAUCUUGUCACUCCACUCUUACAUGGCGGAAGGAGUGAGGGAACUCUCUUGUGCUUUUUAAAAUAAAGGCACUAAUCACCUUCUGACACAAUCACCUUGGGGUUAGGGUUUCAACAUAUGAAUUUUAGAGGAACACAGAUGUUCAGACCAUAGUGAUUAUGAAUUGAGGAACUUCAUCAAUCCUUAUAAUAAAAAUAUCUUAAGCCUGGUGAUUAAAAUGUCACUGUUAAUUGUGCUGUUCUCUAUAGUGUAUGAACCAAGAUUGGGAUUGGUGGAUAUGGCAGAGCCAUUACUCUGAAUAAACUGUUUACCUGAGGUUCCUGCUGUGACUGCAUGCAGGAAUGACUUUAUUCAGAGGUAAUUCUUCACCAAGGUAUAGGCAUAGGAAAGGAAGUAGUAAUUAAAUCAGCUGGCGCAGACAAUCCCAGUGUCUACAGCUGAAAAUACUUAAGCUGUCCAGAAGCUCCUUAUUGCAAGUGGACAGUCUGAACACCAAAUUCAUUUCUCCUGAGGCUAAGCCUUCUAAAGAUAAACUGGAAUCAUUCUUCAAACACAUCAUCCUUUAAACAAAUAGUUGUGUUUCUGAAUUACGCCAAUAUGUCACUAUAUCUUCUAACCCAUUCUUCUUAGAAACCAAAGCACACAAUGAUGUGGAGGAGGGCUCUGGUAGAGAAAGGUAGGGUCACAGUAAGGAGGCUGAAACCACACUCAGAUGAUAAGUGACAGGAUGUAGAUAGUGGUAUAGACGAGAAAGAUGAAAACACAGACUGAAAAGAAACUGCCAGACAGGAAGAGAACACAAAAAGAGUGGUAUUAUAGAAUGUGAGUGUCUUAGUCUAUUUUGUGCUGCUAUAACAGAAUACCACAGACUGGGUUAUUUAUAAAACAAAAAGAAAUUUAUUUUGCUCACUGUUCUGGAGGCUGGGAAGUUCAAGAGCAUAGUGCUAGCACCUGACAAGGGUCAUCCCAAAGAGGAUGGGCAGACGGCAGAAGCAACUGCAUGAGGCAGAGAGAUGAAAUUAGACUGAACUCAUUGUUUUAUCAGAAAGCCACUCCCAAGAUAACUAACUCACUCCUGCCAUAAUGGUGUUAAUCCAUUCGUGAGGUUCUGGAAGCUGGGAAGUCCAAGAUCAAGGCACCAGCAGAUUCAGCGUCUAACGAGGCCUACUUUCUCAUAGACAGCCAUCUUCUCACUCCACUCUUACAUGGCAGAAAAAGUGAAGGUGAAGCCUAAUUAUCUCUUAAAGGUCCCACCUCUUAAUACUGUUAAUUUUUUUAUGUAAGAGAUCUGAAUAUAUUAGUAUACUGAGGGGAUAGACCCCGAGGAAGGAAAAGAUUGAAGGUAGAAAACAGGGAGAAUUAAUAAAAGCAGAGAAGAUGGUGAGUGAUUCAGGUGGAGGGAUUACCCUUAAACAGGAUAAGUAUGUGCCUUUCUCAUACAGCAGAAAAAAGGUAGGUGCCAGGCAACAAGCGUCUCUCACCCAGACCACUGCCACUCUCCUUGUUGGUCUCCUGCUUUCUAUUCUUGGCCUUACAAUCUAUUCUCCAUUCAGUGGCCUAAGUGAGCUCUCAGAAUAUAUAUGGAUUCAUCUUCUGCUAUUACUUAAAUAUCUUCCAAUGCUUCCUGUUAUGUCCAGAAUAAAAUCUAAAUUCUUUAACUUUUCCUGUGUGCUUGGCUUUUGCCUUCUUCUCCACCCUAAUUCAGCACUUCUCUCUCUCUUGCUCAGUAACUUUAGUCUCACUGGCCUUCUUUCUGUUUUUCAAAACUAAGAACUUCCUUGCCUCAGGACUUUGCACUUGGUCCCUCAGCCUUGAACAUUUUUCUUUCAGCUAUUCUCUGGGCUCAUAAUUCAGACUUCAGCUUAACUUAUCUCAUGUAAGCUGCUCCUAGUUACUCAUCAUGAUAUUCUCUUCAUAGCACAUUUAGUGCCCUGGAUUCAUUUUAUUUAUUUUCUUAUUUGAGAAUGUCUGUUUUUUUCUACUAGAAUAUAAGCCAUAAGAGGUAGGAUCUUUGUUAUUCUGUUUUUACCAAAUUAUCCCUGAUGGCUGGCAUAUUAUGGGAAUUCAGAAAAUAUGUAUUAAAUGAAUGAAUAAAUUGGUAAAAGUGAUGAAGGUAGCCAGAGAAUUGAUCCAAGAUCAGGAGUUGCAGAACAAGUGCAAUAGCAGGACCAAAAGCAAGAGAAGGGUUAAAUUGAUUUAAUUGGGAGUCUGGAAUAGAUAUUUGAAUAUUUUUAGCUGCUCUUUUUUUUUUCCUAUUGCAUAGCACUACUGGGGUAUAGUGCUCCCUGACUCACCACAGAAGCGUCAUCCCUCUACCUGUCACCUAACAGCCAAGGAGGAAGUCCAGGUCAAAUAAGGAAGGAGGUGGAGCCCAGGGAUGCAGCUGUCAGACCUUGGAGAAGAAGCACUUGGAGAUUAGAGUGCACAAGAUGGCUCAAAAUGGAUUAAGGAUGAAUCGAGAGAUGGCAGAUUUUGACAAGAGACUAAAAUACUGGAGUUUAAGUGACUUAAGGCAUUCGUUAAUCUGCUCAGGGUGAGACCUAAGAUUAACCAUCACAGAUGGGGACGAAGUCUGGAUUGUGAGAGAAGAUGUGCUGUUCUACUUGGAAGUCAAGGUUGGUGCCACCUAAAUGGGUUCCUGCUGCAAGGAACUUGAGGACAUCUUCCUCUUUCAUUUGCAGAACAUUAAGAACUCCAGACAUUGUGAACAUUUCCCUAUAAGUUAUGAUGGCAAGCCAGAAUAACAUUGUAUGGACUCCUCUCUGGGUAGUGUGAAAAGGGAUUUGGUAUGUUUUUUGUACUACUGCAUGCCUAGUCCCUAAAACAGCCACUGGCUUAUAAGGAGGUGUUUGGUUAACACUGUCGAAUGAAAUAAAUGGAGAUCAAAUCAAACGGCUAGUCAAAAGAUUCUGAAUAAAACACUGGAAUAAAUGUGAUUUCAUUGGAGCUGAUAUAGAUGUCUGCCUAUUGGAGAACAUUUAAUUUCCUCUCCCAGCUGGCUCCUGGGGGCCUUAGGUGGGCAGAAAAUAAGGGGCAUCUCCAUGUGCUUCAGUGGGCGGAGGGGAAGUUGAUCAUAACCUGCCCUUGACUUCUGGUGGCAAAGUCUCUCUUUGGAUGAGUCAUUUCCACUAAAC